rnacentral:rRNA from 1 species
GUCUAUCGCUAUGCCACCCUGAACAAGCCCGAUCUCGUCUGAUCUCAGAAGCUAAGCAGGGUCAUGCUUGGUUAGUACUUGGAUGGGAGACCACCUAGGAAGACCAGGUGCUGUAGGCA